GACGAACUUUGGCGGCGUGCUUAACACAUGCAAGUCGAACGGAAAGGCCCUGCUUUUGUGGGGUGCUCGAGUGGCGAACGGGUGAGUAACACGUGAGUAACCUGCCCUUGACUUUGGGAUAACUUCAGGAAACUGGGGCUAAUACCGGAUAGGAGCUCCUGCUGCAUGGUGGGGGUUGGAAAGUUUCGGCGGUUGGGGAUGGACUCGCGGCUUAUCAGCUUGUUGGUGGGGUAGUGGCUUACCAAGGCUUUGACGGGUAGCCGGCCUGAGAGGGUGACCGGCCACAUUGGGACUGAGAUACGGCCCAGACUCCUACGGGAGGCAGCAGUGGGGAAUAUUGCACAAUGGGCGGAAGCCUGAUGCAGCAACGCCGCGUGCGGGAUGACGGCCUUCGGGUUGUAAACCGCUUUCGCCUGUGACGAAGCGUGAGUGACGGUAAUGGGUAAAGAAGCACCGGCUAACUACGUGCCAGCAGCCGCGGUGAUACGUAGGGUGCGAGCGUUGUCCGGAUUUAUUGGGCGUAAAGGGCUCGUAGGUGGUUGAUCGCGUCGGAAGUGUAAUCUUGGGGCUUAACCCUGAGCGUGCUUUCGAUACGGGUUGACUUGGGGAAGGUAGGGGAGAAUGGAAUUCCUGGUGGAGCGGUGGAAUGCGCAGAUAUCAGGAGGAACCCCAGUGGCGAAGGCGGUUUUCUGGGCCUUUCCUGACGCUGAGGAGCGAAAGCGUGGGGAGCGAACAGGCUUAGAUACCCUGGUAGUCCACGCUGUAAACGGUGGGUACUAGGUGUGGGGUCCAUUCCACGGGUUCCGUGCCGUAGCUAACGCUUUAAGUACCCCGCCUGGGGAGUACGGCCGCAAGGCUAAAACUCAAAGGAAUUGACGGGGCCCCGCACAAGCGGCGGAGCAUGCGGAUUAAUUCGAUGCAACGCGUAGAACCUUACCUGGGUUUGACAUGGAUCGGGAGUGCUCAGAGAUGGGUGUGCCUCUUUUGGGGUCGGUUCACAGGUGGUGCAUGCCUGUCGUCAGCUCGUGUCGUGAGAUGUUGGGUUAAGUCCCGCAACGAGCGCAACCCUUGUUCACUGUUGCCAGCACGUUAUGGUGGGGACUCAGUGGAGACCGCCGGGGUCAACUCGGAGGAAGGUGGGGAUGACGUCAAGUCAUCAUGCCCCUUAUGUCCAGGGCUUCACGCAUGCUACAAUGGCUGGUACAGAGAGUGGCGAGCCUGUGAGGGUGAGCGAAUCUCGGAAAGCCGGUCUCAGUUCGGAUUGGGGUCUGCAACUCGACCUCAUGAAGUCGGAGUCGCUAGUAAUCGCAGAUCAGCAACGCUGCGGUGAAUACGUUCCCGGGGCU
rnacentral:rRNA from 1 species